rnacentral:rRNA from 1 species
AAUAUUGGACAAUGGGCGAAAGCCUGAUCCAGCCAUGCCGCGUGAGUGAUGAAGGCCUUAGGGUUGUAAAGCUCUUUUGGCGGGGAAGAUAAUGACGGUACCCGCAGAAUAAGCCCCGGCUAACUUCGUGCCAGCAGCCGCGGUAAUACGAAGGGGGCUAGCAUUGUUCGGAAUUACUGGGCGUAAAGCGCGCGUAGGCGGUGCUGUAAGUCAGGGGUGAAAUCCCAGAGCUCAACUCUGGAAUUGCCUUUGAUACUGCAGUGCUGGAAUCUCAGAGGGGGUAGAGGAAUUCCUAGUGUAGGGGUGAAAUCCGUAGAUAUUAGGAGGAACACCGGUGGCGAAGGCGGCUACCUGGCUGAGUAUUGACGCUGAGGCGCGAAAGCGUGGGGAUC